UAUUGAAAGUCUCCACUGUGCUGUGCUUUGCUAGGUGUGGAAGGUUAAAUGUUGCGAGUGAAAACCAGGUGAGUCUUCUGCCUUCAUGGAGCUUCCAGUCUACACAAAUGGAAGGAAAAUUCUGAUAUACCAAAAUAAAUCCAGAAUCUACCACCAGCUUGGUGGGGCCAUCAUCUGAAUGACCGUAGUUGCCUUCUGAUGGAGCUCCCAGCUGUGGCCUUGCCCCGCGGUGGUCUCUCUGGAACCCAGCAGCCUGAGUGUGCCUGCCAACGCACAAGUCCGGUCACAUCCCUUCUCUGCUCAGCACCCUCCAUGGCUCCCUGUCGUACACAGGGAAAACCCUCAGUGUAUCCCAAGCGCCUGGAAACUUUCGCAACACACCUGAGUACUCCGUCAACAUGUGCAGAGUGGAUGAGAUGAGAGUCUCCCUACCAUGCCUGACUCCAUGUUCCGAGUAGCUGAUGUUGCCGGAGCAUGAUCCUAUGUCAAGGGGGACUGGAAAUGAAGUCUACGGAGGAGCCCACAGGAGAGGAACACACAGCAACCCCGGCUACACUCAGGCUGACGACUUCUCCAGGCCUCAUGAUGUUUCUGAGGAAGCCUAGAGGCUCUUGGGAAGAACACACAGGAUGGUUCCUGAGAAAGAAUCCUGGAAGCACAGAAGCUCAUUUAAAUGCCAAGAAUCAUGAGUCCAUUAGUCUGAAGUCCUGCCUCUGUCCAUUCCUGGUAGCAUAAUAUUUAAAGUCUUCAAGGAGAUGUGGCUUCCCUCACACUAUUCUAUAGGAGUAAAUGACAAGUCUCUCAACUCUAAAACGAACAAACAAAACGAAACCUUCUAGAA